rnacentral:lncRNA from 1 species
UCCAAAUAUUCUGGGGACAGAGGCAAGUGGAGGCACCAAGACUGAAAGGAGUUGGAGGUUACAUAGCAUCUACAUGGCUUGCUUCACAUCUUUAACAUUUUUAGAUAUAUUCAUUUUAUUUUCUGUGUAUGACUAUUUUGCCUGGUGCUCAAAGAGUCACAGAUGCUUAUGUACCACCAUGUGAAGACUGUGGAAUUGAACUCAAGCCCUCUACAAGAUCAGCAAUUACUCUUAACCACGAAACAAUCUUUUCAGCCACGUUUCCUAUCCUUUGAUGAGUUUAAGUUCUGGGAUGAUAUUCACUAGUUCAUGCAUUUGGUCUAUUCUUUGAGAGAUUUGCAUCAUGAGAUUGUGCAGGUUCCAUUCUAAUCUUUGUUUACUUGGACUCCACAAAUGGUUUUGCCCCAUUCUCUCUGGAUGUGCAGCUUUGCCAAAGCUGCUGAAGUGUUUUUAAGCAACAUCCUAGAGUCAAAGGAGCAAGGAGGAGGAUCAGUCAGUCCUUGCUCUCACUUCAUACUAUUCUCUGCUAGUUUUGAGGGAUGAAAAUAGAUCUCCUUACGGCUCAAAGAAUGGCUUUGGAUCAAUAUGCAUCUAGUCAAAAAUCCUGAGGGGGGAAAAAGAUAAGACACAGAUUGAUUCACUGUUUUCUUGUCUUGGCAAAAUGAAUCUGGACCAUUCUGACUAGUUUACCAGAAAAGAAGUGACCAUAGAAGGAUCUGAGAUCAGAGAAAUGUGUUUGGAGAUGAUUUCAACCUACAGGAAUCUACAACAGCUGGAGAAAAUGGCUUGAUGGCUAAUGGAUUUAGGAAUCUAGCCAAGCUCUAUGCAACAUUCAGAGGCCAAUGAAAUCUUAUUUUCUCAAUCAUGAACUAGAGUUGUGUAUUAUAUUUUUGUCUAUAUUAUACUGUUUAGCUUUAUCUCUGAUCAGUUAUGUUGACAAUUCAGGGAAAAUUUUCCUCAUAAAAUAAAAGUUGAUGUAAGGUGAUCUUUACACAUUCUCUCAGGAGGCUUAAAUAUUGAAGCCUGCCAAGCAUCUCAUUAACCGAUGGCACAAUGAUGACAGUCCUGGCAUAUGGCCCUUCCCACUAGUUUAGAACCAAAUAUCUGUUUCAAGUAAAGAUAUAUUUUAUCUGAGUUUAACCAACAAAGUUUUAAAUAAAAUGAGUGCACAGGUUAAUAAAAUGAUAGCAUUAUUUGAAGAAAUAAUAUUGAUGAGCUACUAGAGCUUAUGUGUAAGAUUCAUAUGACAGGAAUAUGACAACCUGUAGAAACAUAGC